AAACAAGUUAAACCAGCUAAGCAAGAAAACCUUCGCAAAGGUUCGUAUCCAGUUUUCAGGGCGUAAGCCUUGUAGCAUCUUUUGCUAACGCAAAACAAGUUUUUAGAGGAAGCAUCUUUUGCUAACGCAAAAAUGCCGCGUUUGGUGAUAAUGGCGAAGGGGAACCACGCGUACCCAUCUCGAACACGACCGUUAAGCCCUUCAGCGCCGAUGGUACUUGGACCGCAGGGUCCUGGAAGAGUAGGACGUCGCCAAGC
rnacentral:rRNA from 1 species